rnacentral:rRNA from 1 species
GACGUAGGGCGCGAGCGUUGUCCGGAUUGAUUGGGCGUAAAGAGCUCGUAGGCGGCUCGUUGCGUCGGCUGUGAAAACCCGCAGCUCAACUGUGGGCCUGCAGCCGAUACGGGCGGGCUGGAGUUCGGUAGGGGAGAUUGGAAUUCACGGUGUAGCAGUGAAAUGCGUAGAUAUCGUGAGGAAGACCAGUGGCGAAGGCGGAUCUCUGGACAGUUCCUGACGCUGAGGCGCGAAGGCCAGGGGAGCAAACGGG